rnacentral:rRNA from 1 species
UGAUGUUAGCGGGGACGGGUGAGUAACACGUGGAUAACCUACCUAUAAGACUGGGAUAACUUCGGGAAACCGGAGCUAAUACCGGAUAAUAUUUUGAACCGCAUGGUUCAAAAGUGAAAGACGGUCUUGCUGUCACUUAUAGAUGGAUCCGCGCUGCAUUAGCUAGUUGGUAAGGUAACGGCUUACCAAGGCAACGAUGCAUAGCCGACCUGAGAGGGUGAUCGGCCACACUGGAACUGAGACACGGUCCAGACUCCUACGGGAGGCAGCAGUAGGGAAUCUUCCGCAAUGGGCGAAAGCCUGACGGAGCAACGCCGCGUGAGUGAUGAAGGUCUUCGGAUCGUAAAACUCUGUUAUUAGGGAAGAACAUAUGUGUAAGUAACUGUGCACAUCUUGACGGUACCUAAUCAGAAAGCCACGGCUAACUACGUGCCAGCAGCCGCGGUAAUACGUAGGUGGCAAGCGUUAUCCGGAAUUAUUGGGCGUAAAGCGCGCGUAGGCGGUUUUUUAAGUCUGAUGUGAAAGCCCACGGCUCAACCGUGGAGGGUCAUUGGAAACUGGAAAACUUGAGUGCAGAAGAGGAAAGUGGAAUUCCAUGUGUAGCGGUGAAAUGCGCAGAGAUAUGGAGGAACACCAGUGGCGAAGGCGACUUUCUGGUCUGUAACUGACGCUGAUGUGCGAAAGCGUGGGGAUCAAACAGGAUUAGAUACCCUGGUAGUCCACGCCGUAAACGAUGAGUGCUAAGUGUUAGGGGGUUUCCGCCCCUUAGUGCUGCAGCUAACGCAUUAAGCACUCCGCCUGGGGAGUACGACCGCAAGGUUGAAACUCAAAGGAAUUGACGGGGACCCGCACAAGCGGUGGAGCAUGUGGUUUAAUUCGAAGCAACGCGAAGAACCUUACCAAAUCUUGACAUCCUUUGACAACUCUAGAGAUAGAGCUUUCCCCUUCGGGGGACAAAGUGACAGGUGGUGCAUGGUUGUCGUCAGCUCGUGUCGUGAGAUGUUGGGUUAAGUCCCGCAACGAGCGCAACCCUUAAGCUUAGUUGCCAUC